GAUGAACGCUAGCGGCAGGCCUAACACAUGCAAGUCGAGGGGCAGCACAGAAACAGCAAUGUUUUGGUGGCGACCGGCGGACGGGUGCGUAACGCCUAUGCAACCUACCUUUAACAGGGGGAUAACGGAGAGAAAUUUCCACUAAUACCCCAUAACAUCGAUCAAGGCAUCUUGAUUGGUUGAAAACUCCGGUGGUUAAAGAUGGGCAUGCGUUGUAUUAUGUAGUUGGUGAAGUAAUGGCUCACCAAGCCUACGAUACAUAGGGGGACUGAGAGGUUAGCCCCCCACACUGGUACUGAGACACGGACCAGACUCCUACGGGAGGCAGCAGUGAGGAAUAUUGGUCAAUGGGGGCAACCCUGAACCAGCCAUGCCGCGUGCAGGAAGACGGCUCUAUGAGUUGUAAACUGCUUUUAAACAGGGAUAAAGCACAGUAUGUAUACUGUGUUGAAGGUACUGUAAGAAUAAGGAUCGGCUAACUCCGUGCCAGCCGCCGCAGUAA
rnacentral:rRNA from 1 species